GGGUCCGACCGGUUUUGACAGUAAGCGCAUUAGGUAGGUAAGCACGUAGAGCGUUGUAAGACGAGCUCUUUAAUCUGAACUUUCAAAACUUUUAUUUGGCGAAGAGAAUUCUUACGCUAUGGCUGCUUAAUCAAGGAUUAAGUAACCUUUGCUUUCCGGGGAGCUAAGCUGCUCCGCGCUCCGGGUAAAGCAUCACAAAUGUGCAGUUUGUUUUGGUGAUGCUAUUAACCAAAACAAUAUCAGUAGCUAAGUUCAAGGUUGGUAAGUUUUAACACCUGCCUUGAAUCGAAAACCAAGUUAAUACUAAACGUGUAGAAAGCUUAUUUAUUCCUUAUUUGGACGAGAGUUCGAAUCUCUCCGGAUCCACUG
rnacentral:tmRNA from 1 species